AUUUCUCUAGUAUCAACGAGUACGGUUAACUUCCAAUUAAUCAGUUCUGGUAGCGACCCAGAGAGAAAUA
rnacentral:tRNA from 1 species